AUGUGAUCGUCUCUCGCAUAUCAAUAAGCGGAGGAAAAGAAACUAACAAGGAUUCCCCUAGUAACGGCGAGUGAAGCGGGAAGAGCUCAAAUUUGAAAUCUUAAAGGGUUUCCCUUUACGAAUUGUAGUUUAAAGAAGUGUUUUCUGUUGAGGUUUUGGUAAAAGUUCUUUGGAAUAGGGCAUCAUAGAGGGUGAGAAUCCCGUAUUUGACCUUUACUUUCAACUUUGUGAUACACUUUCAAAGAGUCGGAUUGUUUGGGAAUGCAGUCCAAAAUGGGUGGUAAAUUUCAUCUAAAGCUAAAUAUUGGCGAGAGACCGAUAGUGAACAAGUACCGUGAGGGAAAGAUGAAAAGAACUUUGAAAAGAGAGUUAAACAGUACGUGAAAUCGUCAAAAGGGAAGCGUUUGACACCAGUGUUGUUUUUCUCUGAAAAUCAAUUAAAGAAUAGAUUCAUGUUAAGUAGUAUUAGACCUUCAUCAGCUAUGCUGCUUAGUUUUGGUCAUUUUUUUAAUGCACUUUUCAGUUAACAAGUCAACAUCAAUUUCUUUUGCCGUAAAAAGGUAGAAGGAAGGUGGCUUGAGAUUUCGGCUGAAGUGUUUAUAGCCUUCUGCCCUAUGCAGGUCGGAGAGAUUGAGGUCUGCAGCGUAGAUCCUUCGGGGCUAGAUGACAUUUAGUGCUAAGUUAUAGCAUUUUCAUAGACAACUUGUUGACUAUGAUUUAGUCAUGUAGCUUACUCGUAGUGCUAUUUUACCUACGCUUAGGAUGUUGAGCGCAUGUCUCUCUCU
rnacentral:rRNA from 1 species